UUGCAGCUGCCCCGGUGUAGCCAUGACACUGGCUCACCUCUCGGUCACCACAGAGUCCCUCCCAUUCCCUCCCCAAGGCCACUGGGGUACAGCUAUGGCCCUGUUCUUAGGACUGGUGAUCUGUGAGCAGGCAGGGAUAUCCUACCAGGUCACCCCUGCCAGCUCACAGGCAGAGUUGCUAGGGUUCCUCUGACCCUGUCCUCUCUCCCACUCACUUGUACCAGUAGCUCUGUGGCCUUCUCUUCUUUUGCCUGGCUGGUCACCUGCUCCCAUCUGCUGCUUCAAGUGGCUUGAAACUUGCUGGGUGCUCCCAUACUCAGCCCCAGCCCGGCAGAUCCUGCCUCUAGGCCCAUAGGUGAUCAGCCCAGGCUCGGCUCCUGCCAACACAGAAUGCUGCCAGAUUCCCCGCUAGCACACUCCCUGCCCCUCACCUCUACUGAUCAGGUCUUGGGGUGUUCCUUGUGGGGCCCACCCAGGCUGAGAAUGGAGCUACAUCACCCGCCCUGCCCCCACCUGCCCAGCCCCGCCCAGGUCUGGUGCUGAGGAUGCAGCUCCUCUCAGGGUCUGAAGUCUCCAAAUCUGAAAUGUAUAUUUUUGCUAGGAGCCCCAGCUUCCCGUGUUUUUAAUAUAAAUAGUGUAUACAGACUGACGGAACUUUAAAUAAAUGGGAAUUACGUAUUUAAGAGUU
rnacentral:lncRNA from 1 species